rnacentral:rRNA from 1 species
UGGGGAAUUUUGCACAAUGGGGGAAACCCUGAUGCAGCGACGCCGCGUGAUUUAGAAGGCCUUCGGGUUGUAAAAAUCUUUUCUAUGGGAAGAAAAUGACAGUACCAUAGGAAUAAGGACCGGCUAAUUACGUGCCAGCAGCCGCGGUAAUACGUAAGGUCCGAGCGUUGUCCGGAAUCAUUGGGCGUAAAGGGUACGUAGGCGGGUAAGCAAGUUAGAAGUGAAAUCCUAUAGCUCAACUAUAGUAAGCUUUUAAAACUGCUCAUCUUGAGGUAUGGAAGGGAAAUUGGAAUUCCUAGUGUAGCGGUGAAAUGCGCAGAUAUUAGGAGGAAUACCGGUGGCGAAGGCGACUUUCUGGCCAUAACCUGACGCUGAGGUACGAAAGCGUGGGUAGCAAACAGG